rnacentral:misc_RNA from 1 species
UACGUAGGAGGCAAGCGUUGUCCGGAGUUACUGGGCGUAAAGGGCGCGCAGGCGGCCGGUCGCGUUCCUGGUGAAAGCUCCGAGCUAAACUCGGAGAGGUUCAGGAAAACGGGUCGGCUUGAGCGUCGGAGAGGGGCAUGGAACUCCGGGUGGAGCGGUGAAAUGCGUAGAGAUCCGGAAGAACACCAAUGGCGAAGGCAGUGCCCUGGCCGACUGCUGACGCUCAGGCGCGAAAGCGUGGGGAGCAAACAGG